rnacentral:rRNA from 1 species
UGAGGAAUAUUGGACAAUGGGCGCAAGCCUGAUCCAGCCAUGCCGCGUGCAGGAUGACGGUCCUAUGGAUUGUAAACUGCUUUUGUACAGGAAGAAACAGUUCUACGUGUAGAACCUUGACGGUACUGUAAGAAUAAGGAUCGGCUAACUCCGUGCCAGCAGCCGCGGUAAUACAGAGGAUCCAAGCGUUAUCCGGAAUCAUUGGGUUUAAAGGGUCCGUAGGCGGUUAGAUAAGUCAGUGGUGAAAGCCCAUCGCUCAACGGUGGAACGGCCAUUGAUACUGUCUGACUUGAAUUAUUAGGAAGUAACUAGAAUAUGUAGUGUAGCGGUGAAAUGCUUAGAGAUUACAUGGAAUACCAAUUGCGAAGGCAGGUUACUACUAAUGGAUUGACGCUGAUGGACGAAAGCGUGGGUAGCGAACAGGAUUAGAUACCCAAGUAGUCCCUGAGCGGGCUGGCAAGGCGCAU